rnacentral:rRNA from 1 species
GUGGAUUAGAUACCCUGGUAGUCCACGCCCUAAACGAUGCAUAUUUGGUGUGGGCCAUUCAUUUGGUCUGUGCCGGAGCUAACGCGUUAAAUAUGCCGCCUGGGGAGUACAGUCGCAAGGCUGAAACUCAAAGGAAUUGACGGGGGCCCGCACAAGCGGUGGAGCAUGUGGUUUAAUUCGACGCAACGCGAAGAACCUUACCUGGGCUCGAAAUGCUUACGACCAUCUCUGGAAACAGGGACUUCCCGCAAGGGACGUGAGUAUAGGUGCUGCACGGCUGUCGCCAACU